rnacentral:misc_RNA from 1 species
UUUUAUAUUUUAUUUUAGAUUUCGUCAAAGUGACGAUGUUUUUAUCGGAGUUUGGAAAAAACUCCACUGCCUACAAAGUAGUAGUAGUAGUGGAGUUUCAAAAAAAGCGAAUCUUUCGAUUCUUUUUUAAUGAUCCUUCCGCAGGUUCACCUACGGAAA